rfam:Vibrio shilonii AK1 1103207001861, whole genome shotgun sequence.
CGCAUUAUUGAAUGCAGGUUUGUUUAAAACAGUUAGCGUAGGCUCUCCAUGAGCCAUUCCCCUAGGCCCAAAUCAGGAUCAGUUUUGGGCCUCUUUUU